AUGCGUUGUUGGGUAGGGGAGCGUUCUGUAAGCCUGUGAAGGUGUACUGUGAGGUAUGCUGGAGGUAUCAGAAGUGCGAAUGCUGACAUAAGUAACGAUAAAGCGGGUGAAAAGCCCGCUCGCCGGAAGACCAAGGGUUCCUGUCCAACGUUAAUCGGGGCAGGGUGAGUCGACCCCUAAGGCGAGGCCGAAAGGCGUAGUCGAUGGGAAACAGGUUAAUAUUCCUGUACUUGGUGUUACUGCGAAGGGGGGACGGAGAAGGCUAUGUUGGCCGGGCGACGGUUGUCCCGGUUUAAGCGUGUAGGCUGGUUUUCCAGGCAAAUCCGGAAAAUCAAGGCUGAGGCGUGAUGACGAGGCACUACGGUGCUGAAGCAACAAAUGCCCUGCUUCCAGGAAAAGCCUCUAAGCAUCAGGUAACAUCAAAUCGUACCCCAAACCGACACAGGUGGUCAGGUAGAGAAUACCAAGGCGCUUGAGAGAACUCGGGUGAAGGAACUAGGCAAAAUGGUGCCGUAACUUCGGGAGAAGGCACGCUGAUAUGUAGGUGAAGUCCCUCGCGGAUGGAGCUGAAAUCAGUCGAAGAUACCAGCUGGCUGCAACUGUUUAUUAAAAACACAGCACUGUGCAAACACGAAAGUGGACGUAUACGGUGUGACGCCUGCCCGGUGC
rnacentral:rRNA from 2 species